rnacentral:rRNA from 1 species
UACGGAGGGUGCAAGCGUUAUCCGGAUUCACUGGGUUUAAAGGGUGCGUAGGCGGGCGAGUAAGUCAGUGGUGAAAUCUCCGGGCUUAACCUGGAAACUGCCAUUGAUACUAUUUGUCUUGAAUGCCGUGGAGGUGAGCGGAAUAUGUCAUGUAGCGGUGAAAUGCUUAGAUAUGACAUAGAACACCAAUUGCGAAGGCAGCUCACUACACGGAGAUUGACGCUGAUGCACGAAAGCGUGGGGAUCAAACAGG